AGGCGAUUUGGCGCACGCUGAUUGGUACAAAUCACCGGCUCAACAGUGCGGCCAGGGUUUUUGAUUUUUUAAAUAGCCCUGUUAGACUGAAGUCCCGCGGUCGUGCAAUUCGAAGCGUUAUCUGCUCGAUGUCGAUUGAGUCCUGCCAUUUUCGAGCGUUUGUCGUGCGUUUUGAUCGAAUGUCAAAUAGGCGACAUCUAGUGCGUGUAAAAAUCUUGGCAGGCGUUGAUAAAAAUUAUUGACAGAUAAAUUUUCGUGGGUUUCCAACGUGAUAAGUUUUUUUUCGAAGUGAAAUUAUAUUUUGUGAAAAAAGCAGAUUCUGGGCAGGAUGGAACCUAGACCUACCAAUAAACUAAUGAGAUGGAGUUGAAAAAAUCAAACGGCCACCGAGGAUAAGACCAAGGAUGUACCCAACCCGAGUUCCCAGCUUGGCAUCUGUGCACUACGAAACAAAAAAAGCCACCCCUGCACAAAUAUAUUGGAAUUUGUUCAAUCAAAUCUUUAGGUGGAAAAAUUAAAUGUGACAUAUUACCCUUACCUUCAUUUGACAACUAUAAUAAAAAAGAAUAGUUUGC